UACGGAGGAUGCAAGCGUUAUCCGGAAUGAUUGGGCGUAAAGCGUCCGCAGGUGGCUAUGUAAGUCUGCUGUUAAAGAGUCUAGCUCAACUAGAUACAAGCAGUGGAAACUACAAGGCUAGAGUACGUUCGGGGCAGAGGGAAUUCCUGGUGUAGCGGUGAAAUGCGUAGAGAUCAGGAAGAACACCGGUGGCGAAGGCGCUCUGCUAGGCCGUAACUGACACUGAGGGACGAAAGCUAGGGGAGCAAACAGG
rnacentral:rRNA from 1 species